AAAAAAAAAAAAAGAAGCAUCAGAUAACUGUUCCACGAAGAACUUUUUAAUUUCUCUUACACCCAGAGGAGUCAUGUGGAGAGGGAGAGUGGGUUCUGUGUGAAAAUCACAGGAAGAGUUUUCUCUGGAACGCUGGAGUUUCAAGAGCAUGUCCAUCCUGUGCAUGCGACCUCUUUAAGGCAGUGCCUCAAACAGUACAAGUAGGACGAUACUAAGCACAGCAGGUGCUCAGCAAACACUGAAUAUACAAGAGUGGAAAAUCAUCUUCACUUCAAAAAUGUUGGAUGAAAUGGUUUGUCUGUGAGCACUUGACAGUGUAUUUGACCUGAAAACUUAGUGAGCCUCUCCCAUAUUAGUUAUUGGUCAGAGCAUGGGAUUUUCUUGCUGUCACCAGGGCUAGCGAGCAGAAGGCAGUGAGGGCUGUGGUGGUAAGCCUGCCUGGGAAGGUGCAACCACCUAGAAGCCAAAGCUGGUGGAAUCAUAAAGCACCCCCGGAAUUCAGGGCCGGGGGUGGGGAGGGUUGGGGAGUGUGUGCUUCAACCUCCUCCUAUGAAAAGCCCAUUUUGACAAAAAUGCAAAAACAAUAUUACUGACACAGAGUAGGGGUGAGUGGUCAGUGGUCCAAAGCCUUGGGUGGUGGCUGUGUGUUAACCAAUAGGACACCAGAGAGAGGCCCAGCAUGUCCCAUGAGCCGUAUAGACUUGGUCAGGUCACUUAACCCACCCAAGCUUUGAGUCUCCCCAUUGAACAAUAGGGGUAAUUUUAGGGCCUAGGUCAUAGAGAAACGGUGUUGAGCUGCUGUGAGAAUAAAGCAAUUCACAGUGACAAGCUGGGAGAAGGAGGCCUGGUUCAAUAAAUAUUUAUGGCUAUUAUUCACAGCGGCAAACCUGAAAGGUAAACGGCAGGAGUGGCUGGUUGGAUAUUACAAAGUCUUGGGAAUGCUUCACCAUCUGCCUCUUAUUCCAGAAAAUUCUACGUUCACCCUGUGACCCCACCAACAUCAGUGCCAACUGGAUUCAACAGAGAAAGUACACAGACUCUGGGGUGCCGGGCAGGCAGAGCCAGCCCUUGUGCUGUGUGUGAGCUGCUGGUACGUGGAAGACUGAAGACCAAGUGGCCUGUCUCCAGAGCUCUCACACUUACCACUAACCUCAACUACCUCUCCUUAGGCUUUGCUUGUCCUCCUGGGAUGCUCUGCUCUUGUCAUUCUAUGUCCCUCAACCGCUGGCUUUCACCACCUCUUAGUUUUGAUGGGCUCAGGGCCCUGGGUAGAGGGCCUUCCCUCUACCAGCCUGCAUGCCAAGGGUCUCAAAACAGACAAGGCAAAUCCUCAGAGAGCAGAUGAUGCUGUAGAUACCGUGGCAUGCCUCUGAGACCUCUCCUUCAGAACGGAGGCUCUCAUUCCCCUCAGCUGCUGGAAGGGCUGGCUGCUGAGGGCUCAGGGCUGAAACUCUUUCCAGGAGCCACUCCUGCCCGAUGGGCGUCACCAAAUCCCCUGCCCCACGCACCCACCUUCCUGGGAGCAGGCAGCAGUGAUUGGUGGAUGCAGGAUCCGGCCUUCUAGCCUCAGCUGGGGCCAACUCCAAAGGGCCAUUGUGACUCCAGAACUAUUGCAACUACUUCACAGUUCCAGUCUUCCCUGUUCCCAGGUCUGCUUCCUCCACUCCCCAGCGGACAUUAGUACCAAAGGGUACACCCCAGUAAAUGUCCUGCAUGCAUCUUGCAGCCUGAGACCCAGAUUCCCAGGAAUCUCUCCAAACGCAUGAGUUAAUCAAACAGCUCUGAGCAAAGCUUCAUUUCCUGAUGGCAGAAGGAGGCCUCAUGCAGGCUGGGGCUCAGACCUUUCCCAGUGUUCCAGUUUUCCUGUACAGCCAGUCUUUGGCACUGUUAUGUAUGGCAUAUUGGCUCUUUUUCUUUCAUUCUUUCACUUCACUAGAAUUUUCUGAUAUUUGUUACUGUGUCUAUGGGAUUCACCUACACCUAUAGCCAACAACAGGGCUGUGCACUUCCUGCAACACUUCUCCUGCAUUGUCUCUGACAAUGCCUGGAGUGUCCCAACCUGGGACCCAAGUCAUGCUGGUCAUAUUCUUGACAUAACCCACACCUAUGGGUGAUGGACAUGCUUGUAAUUUACAUGCAUAAAGCAUAAAAUAAACAGAUAUGGGCAGGUGUAGGAGUAUUAUUC
rnacentral:lncRNA from 1 species